rnacentral:rRNA from 1 species
UACGUAGGGGGCAAGCGUUAUCCGGAUUUACUGGGUGUAAAGGGAGCGUAGACGGCAAGGCAAGCCAGAAGUGAAAGGGCAGGGCUCAACCCUGUACAUGCUUUUGGAACUGUGGUGCUAGAGUGCAGGAGAGGUAAGUGGAAUUCCUAGUGUAGCGGUGAAAUGCGUAGAUAUUAGGAGGAACACCAGCGGCGAAAGCGAUUCACUGGACUGUAACUGACACUGAGGCACGAAAGCGUGGGGAGCAAACAGG